rnacentral:rRNA from 1 species
UGCCAGACUCCUACGGGAGGCAGCAGUGGGGAAUAUUGCACAAUGGGGGAAACCCUGAUGCAGCGACGCCGCGUGAGUGAAGAAGUAUUUCGGUAUGUAAAGCUCUAUCAGCAGGGAAGAAAAUGACGGUACCUGACUAAGAAGCCCCGGCUAACUACGUGCCAGCAGCCGCGGUAAUACGUAGGGGGCAAGCGUUAUCCGGAUUUACUGGGUGUAAAGGGAGCGUAGACGGCAUGGCAAGUCAGAUGUGAAAGCCCGGGGCUCAACCCCGGGACUGCUCUUGGAACUGCGCGGCUGGAGUGCAGGAGGGGCAGGCGGAAUUCCUGGUGUAGCGGUGAAAUGCGUAGAUAUCAGGAGGAACACCGGUGGCGAAGGCGGCCUGCUGGACUGCGACUGACGUUGAGGCCCGAAAGCGUGGGGAGCAAACAGGAUUAGAUACCCCGGUAUC